UUUAUGAAUGUAUUAUCACUAUUUCCUUGUUUUUGCAUGAUUUAUGAAUGUCUUAGCAUCUCCUUGUCUUUGUUGGACAUCAUCAUUAGCAUUCUGGCAGUUUCUUAGUAUCUCUGAGUCAUUGAUAGGGUGACUGCACUGCACGAGCUUGUUUCUUCUUCACAAUGGACAAGCAUUUUGGUAUUCUCAUAGCACUCGUACUUUUUACCUUGACCUGGAAUUCAUCAAGGUGAGAAUGGUUAGAUUUUUCUGGGUUUUGGGAUUUGGUUUAUGAUUUGAGUUUGUGGGUCGAUUUUCUUCAGUAUGUUUAUCAACCAAUAGUUCUGGAUUUUUAGGAAGUCGUCAAAAUGUAUGGAGUUAUCUUCCCAAUUGAGUUUAUAGUCUCCGUCCCUUCCAGUUAGAGUUUAUAGAUACCUGAUAUUGAAGUAUUGUGAAAAUUUCAAGAUGAUUGGAGUCAUCUUGUGUUCAUGUUGUGUUCAUUUGUAGUUGACUGUAUAGGUUGUCUCAUCUUUUUUGUUAAUUAUCCCAAAGUUUUGAACACUUGCUGGUUGGUAAUAUUAUUGAUCUACAUAAUAUAGCACAGGUGUUUAGAUGUUUCGUGCUACCUUUAAUUGUCCAUUUGUUACUUGGUUGUGAUACUAUAAGCACAGAGGUGAUAAAUUUUGUCGUGGAUCUGUUAUUUUAAGUGAUUGAUGUAUGUGUAUGUAGUUUAAGCCCAGAGGUUCGAUUAAGGAAUAAGUUGGAUCCCAAAUGAACAAUAGAGAUCACGUUUUGUUCUUUUAUAUAGAUUUAUUCAUUGUUUCUUCUUUAUUGUUUUAGAGUAGGGCAUUGUAGGGAACAAUGACGGGAAUUUUUAAUUGAGAAGAAGUGUGUUAAUACUUCUUUGUGGGGACUGGUACAUGUAAUCUUUAGUUUUGUUGAAAGCACAAAAAUCAUGAUGCAGUCAAUGUUUCAAACAGAAAAGUUUCAGUACACUUGGUAUGAAGACUUUGUGUGAGCUCAUAAGUUUGGUUGAUUUCUUUCUUAUGCAUAAUGCAUAGCUGAAAGCUAACAUAUUUUGGUUGCAAUGUGCGAAACCUAUAUGUUUCAAGAACCCUAGUGGAAUGGAAAUCAGAGUAGACAGAUAAAUGCUACGAUUAAUGGAUCUUGUCCUGUAAAGAAAACUAACAAAAUUGGUUUUCUGCUCUUGGUGAAGAAUUUUCAAUACAUUUUGUUUGUCCUUUUAUUUUUGACAGACUCAAGCAUUACUUUUUGGUUGCAUUGCUUUGUGCUUGAACUAAUUGCUUUCUUUUCAAGCAAGUUCCCUUUUUCUGGAACUUAAUUAGUAUCAGAAAUUUGGCCAUAUUCUGUGAAUUUCAUGGAUACCUCUUUAAUCUUUUAAUUGCAUGGUGUUUGAUGUCCACUGCAUGCCAUUAAUGGAUGCAGUAAAACUUCCCUGACAUCAUUCUAGAAAAGGAGUCUUGCUUAUUGUUAAUUGAAGUCUCAUUUGCAGUUUCAUAUUGUCUGCAACUUAAUUUCUUUUGUCUUCCUAUAUGUGGAAAAUUUUUCCAUCGUGAAGCUUAAUUCAAUGGGCAUGGAUAUUUAUUCGUUUAUUUGGGCAUGGAUUCCUAAUUGACUCAUUGUUUUGCUCUUGUCAUGUAUUCUUUUAAAAAAGUGAUUACUGAAUAAGUAAUCCACUAUGCUACUUUUGUAUAUACUUUGCACAGCAAGUAAUGUUUAUGGCCUAUUUUUAUGCUAUUAGGAAGGCCAAAAAUUUCUUCUUUCAUGUUAUUAUUAGGUAUGGCCACCUGAUGGCUUUGGAUUAGUGGAUGAUCGACUAAGCGUAAAGAACCUUAUAUUGUUAAAGGGGGAGAGCCUGAAAAGCUUGUUCGGACACUUUUCAUUGUUGCUAUAUCCAGACAGUCAUAUGUAAUUUUCACGAAUGAGGUGCGCUAUGUUCCUAGAAGCUUAGUUUUGGAUUCAUUUUUGGUAGGCCCUAGCUUCCCUUGUUUCAUCUCAUUGGUUCUGCUAUGGAGACUGAACGAUAUGGAGGAAUGAACGAUAUGGGCUGCUUUAUGAAUUUAAGGACUCCACCCACCCCUAAAUCUCUCAUUUGCACCUAAUUAACAAGGUUAUUCCUAGUCCUUUUUCAUAUGACACAAAGACUAUGCUGGUAUAUGAGAGUGAGUAUUGGGAUGGAAGACGUACAUCAGAACCAUAACCAAGGAUACCUCCUCUGCUGUAAUAAUCCAAAGCUCAAGAAGCAACAUAAAUGAGUUGGAGUAGGAUCUUAGAGCUUAAGAAGCAAGUACUGUGGAUUACCUCCUUUCAGCAUGUGAGCUACCAAGUUUGAUUCAUGGGUCUAGCCAGCAGCUAGAAAUAGCUAGGGAUGCUUUUGAUUCAUGUGUAGGUAGCAGCUAGGAAUGCUUUCUUUUUUGGUAUAUUAUCUAGUAACUUGAAUGUUUGGAUGUUUGAAAAAUGCUACUUGAAUGAUAUGGAUUAGUGUGGUUUUAUAU
rnacentral:lncRNA from 1 species